UGUUGUUGUCUGAUGUUGAGUGGUCUGUUCUGCUGUUGCCUUUGGAAUACUCUGCCUGUGCUCUGGAUUAUCUUUUCCUUUACCUUGUGAUCCCAUGUAAGCUUGUCUCAGGUUUAUAAAAGGCCAUUUCAGACGGCUUGGAUCCGCGGGGUCGCUCUGCGCUCAGGCAAACAACCGCUUCGUGAGAUAGAGCGCCUCCUGCUGCAUGAAGUUGUUGUAGCAGCGCUGAGUCAGCUGACCAGACCAGAGCUCCUUGAGGAAGGAGGACGAGCGGAGAAUCUCCUCCGCCAACAAGUAGCUGUUGCCCCACACAACAUCAAACAGACUCAGAACGGGAACGAUGCCUCAGAUAAAGAGGGGAAGAAAAUCAAAAUGUUGUUGCUAUGUGAUGUUUAAUAGUCCUGCACAGGGAUGUGCACAAAUAUUUUUGGGGACGGGGGCUCAAGUGUAUAAAAGUUAAAUAUAUUAACACAACUUUGAA